GACAGAGGGCGCAAGCGUUGUUCGGAAUCACUGGGCGUAAAGCGUUCGUAGGCGGCUUGACAGGUCGGGAGUGAAAUCCCUCGGCUUAACCGAGGAAUUGCUUUCGAAACCGUUAAGCUGGAAUACCGGAGAGGGAAGCGGAAUUCCUGGUGUAGGGGUGAAAUCCGUAGAUAUCAGGAGGAACACCUGUGGCGAAGGCGGCUUCCUAGACGAGUAUUGACGCUGAGGAACGAAAGCGUGGGUAG
rnacentral:rRNA from 1 species